CUCAAGGACUGACGUCUGUUUCGGAAUAACCUUGGAUUGAGAGGCAUCAUUACACAUACCGAAAUUUAUAAUCUCAGUACCAUAACAAAUAGAAGCAUACUUGUAAUUUUGUGCCCUUCACUACUCGUAAUACUUUGCACUGAAAUGGGCAGCCCACUCAUAUGUACGCAGAAGACGCGCAGUCCUCCAGUGAACAGUCCCAGAAUCUCGUGGCUUAGUGCUGAACUAUCACAGGUUGCAGUCAGUGCUUAUUCUUCAAAUCUUGGAAAUAUAUUCAGACCUUUUGAAGUGGAAGGCGUUCAAAAGCAAUUAGACAUGCCGCUAGUCCUUUAAACUAUCGGCGACAUCUCGCUUGCAUAUCAUUUCCAUUCGAUAGUUUCCUCUUUGGGCAAGCCGGAAUGAACGCUUGCACGUUCAUCGCUUCUGAGCAAACGGGCGAAAUUGCCGUACAGCGGAAAUUACGUGAAUUGGAUGUCAGUCUGAAUUAUGCCACGCGGACUUUACAGGUGAUAGCACUUCAUGGACUUGAAAACUGUUCUUCAUCAAUUUUAUGCAAGACAGUCUGUUGAAACUAACUAUCCAGUUUUCUAGUCUGAAGUGCGGAUUGUCUAGUGAGGAUAAAGACAUUGAGCAGUA